UCUGCAGGGGAGUGGUUUCUCUACAUUUACAGGGUGGCAGGCUGACGGGACCCAGCUGGUGCUCAUCAAGACCAAUCAGCGAAGGCCUUAAAUAGGAGCGGCUUCCCUGAGGCAGACGCCAGAUGAUUUUGCUUCUAUAGUGAGAACCAGCCCUGAUCACCCCCUGGUGCUCAGUCUACCUAAUUACCUGGUCCUCGCUGCUCUGCUAAAACUAGCUCCUGGAUACCUCCACGACCAUCAGCCAGCUGCUGCCUGUCCACCCUCAGUCUCAUACUGAAACUCCUCCCCCUGGAAAUCCCACACUGCACCGACUGCUGGAAAACCCAUGUACCCACCUCUGCUCAUCCUAACCCUCAGACAGUAAGCCAUCACCAGGUUACACCAUCAUUCCCUUCAUUUGCUUCCCUGUUUAACCGCUCACCUUUCCUCAGUUCCUCCUCUGGUCCGGUUCCUCCCUGCUGCUGUAGAUCAACGACUCUCUAUUCUCUCCCCAUUUGCACUCAUUAUUCAAUAAAUCUGUGAAACUG